rnacentral:rRNA from 1 species
AACGAACGUUGGCGGCGUGGAUUAGGCAUGCAAGUCGAGCGAGAACGUCACCUUCGGGUGGCUAGUAAAGCGGCAAACGGGUGAGUAUCGCGUGGGAAACCUGCCCUUGAGUUGGGGAUAACACCCCUAACGGGGUGCUAAUACCGCAUAACAUUGCGGGCCGCAUGGUCUGCAAUCAAAGGUGGCCUCUACUUGUAAGCUGUCGCUUGAGGAUGGUCCCGCGUCCCAUUAGCUAGUUGGUAGGGUAACGGCCUACCAAGGCGACGAUGGGUAGCCGGCCUGAGAGGGUGGUCGGCCACACUGGAACUGAGACACGGUCCAGACUCCUACGGGAGGCAG